rnacentral:lncRNA from 1 species
CCCACCCACAUCUCCCACUCCAUUGUCCUCUUAAGGAACAACUCCCCUUUUACCCACCAACUGCUCCACUCAUCAUCAGGAUGAACUCAUUCAAGUUGAGGCACUUGAGUCAGAACCAGGAAACUUGGAAGAGGAACAAAUGGAAGAUACUCUUUUCUGAAUACUCUAGGAUUCCAAGAACUUCAUUGACCAUGUGGCAAAGGAAAAGAUACAAAUGCUGGAGUUACCUAGGUUUGAAUUUAACAAUUUGCUCUGCUACCAACUAUUUUGGGAUAUUAGUUGCUUGUCCUACAAAAUAGGAAUAGUAAUUGCAACCCCAUGGACUGUAGCCUACCAGGCUCCUCCAUCCAUGGGAUUUUCCAGGCAAGAAUACUGGAGUGGGUUGCCAUUUCCUUCUCUAGGGGAUCUUCCUGACACAGAGAUUGAACCCAGAUCUCCCACAUUGUAGGCAGACACUUUACCAUCUGAGCCACUAGGGAAGUCCAGGAAUAAAUAGUAAUAUCUACUCUAAAAGAGUCAUAUCAAUGUAUGGCAAAACCAAUACAAUAUUGUAAAGUAAUUAGCCUCCAAAAAAAUAAUAAAUAAAUAAAAAUUUAAAAAUAAGAGAGUUCUUAUAAGAAGAAAUAAUAUUUAUAAAAUUCAUGGGACAAAAGCUGGUUCAAUAUAGGUUUGGAAUGUUGAGUUCCCUUCUUUUUUCUUUUUUGUCUUAUGCUUUGGGAAUCGAGGUGGGUGGGAGGGGGGGUCAAUGGAUGGUCACAUCUCACACUGCUUCUGGACUGAUGGCACUGAUAUCAGCCAUGACCGGUCACCUAGGAUUCCAGUGAGAGAAGUCAUCUUUUUCCCUCUCAGCCUGCUGUUCAGCCUGACAAUAAACAGGCUGGAAACAGCCUUAUUAAGGAAACUCUGCUUCUUCCUCAUCCAGCAGGAUCCUAGCAUUGCUUCUUAUUGCUCAAGAUUUUAGUUCAGAACUUUUCUUUCUGAGGUCAGAAAUGAAGAAGCUGAGAUUGCUAAGCUGGGUGGGAAACCAAGAGAUUCAAGAAUGCAGGCCAGAAGACAAAAGGAUCAUAGUACCAGAGUGAGUUCAUCUCCAACUCAAGAGCUGGAAUGGAAGGCAGGAGACAGAGGCUUUGAGGAGAGGACGACCCCCAGGAAGAGUAGAAGAUCCCAUACAAUACAGUGCAGGUGACAUCAGGUCCUCAAGCAAUCCUGAUUAGGCAGGAUUGUUGGGGUUCAUCACGUCCAUCUUUGCUUCCUUGUGGACUUACUACCAGAAACACCUUCGGUAGAUGCUGUGCUCUGAGAUCAAUCUGCUGAGUUCCUGUGGUAGUUGAGAGGAAGAAUAGCUCAGACAAUUCACAAAGAGAGAUGCUUGUCUCUUUGGCACUGGCCUCCUAAAGCCAUGACACCCUCCUGAGGGAGCUCUAGGUGAUGCAGGCAGGGAAAACUGAUGACCAACCCAAGUCAAACUAUGGCAGCCAAAUUGGGCAUGUCAAUUGUGUCCAAAAAAGUUAGAUGUGGGAGAGACCAUUUCCAAAUCUUUGGGUACAUGUAGACCAUGUGGCCUGGAAGGGGGUCUAGGAUUGGGUGGAAUGCUAGGAUUCCAACAGGCAGGGACAGGAGUAAGGGGCAGGGAGGGAGCCAUCAUUUCAGGCAGAAGUAUGUGAGUGACCAAACAGGAGGCUGACUAGGAUCUGAGGCCAGCAGGUUGUGGGGGAUGAGGGUCAGCAGAAGAGGCAGGAGAGGGCUGGUUCACACCUUCUCACAAGCUUCACUUCUCACAGCAGGUUCAUUAGAGAACGUGUGUGUGUAUUGGGGAGGGGGUAACACACUGCACUUCCAUUCUAAUGACUGCCACACUAGACAGGAAUGCCCUGAAGCUGCUUUUCUAAGGACUCAAAUCCCAACCUAGGUGCUUGAAGGGCCAGAAACUGUACACAUUCUACCCACUCCACAGGAGGUGGAUUUGAGGUCCACGAGCUGAAGCUGAGGUUAGUUAGUACUAGUGAUCAGGAACAAGGGCUGGACCACUGUAUAAAGUGCACUGGCUAUCCCCCCAUCACACAUACCAACAAAUAGAUACACACACAAGUACAUUGCCCGACAUACAACUUUUGCCCUACAUAAGGGGCAAAGGAAACCUCAGGCCAGUCUUUUAUAAGCUCCCACCUACCCAUGCUGCCUCCACAGAUGCCCAACUCAGCACCCAGCACCAAAGCCUAACCUUGUCCUCUGUAGUCUGGUCAACUGUCUCCACGCCUGGGCUUGAGUGCUGAGAAAGAUACACAUCAACCGCACAGCAGAGGCUGUGGGGAUUAUCAUGUGCAGGAAGGUCCUCUUUGAGAAGUGUCGCUUACCAUAGACAGUGAGGAGGAAAACCUGGUUUAAUUCUAUUCCUCUAGUGAAGCUGGCUCGAGCCCGGUACUGCCCACUGUCCUCUAGGGUCAGGUUAUCAAUCCUCAGGAACAGGAUGUUAGGCACAUGGACCCUGUGCUGGUACUUGUCCUGGAGGCUGACCCAGGUUGGGGUGUCUGCCCCACGGCGGACUCGCAGCAUGACGCUGUAGUUUAACUCAGGGCCAAAGCCCCAUGAGACCUCCUCUGGGUCAGCUUUUUGAUUCUUGGUCACAUGAAACAACACAGAACCUCCUCGGAUCCUCGGCAGGGUAACAAGUCCAGAAUCCUGAACUCCAGGACCAGGUGCUGCAGAAUUCUCGACCCCAGUGCAGCAGACACCUAGG